UAGGAUAGAUGGGAGCAGUUUAUCUGGGAAGAUACCUAGUUUUAUUGGGAAUUGGACCAAACUUGAUAGAUUGGAUUUGCGGGGCACAUCCUUGGAAGGCCCAAUUCCUUCUAUCAUAUCCGACUUGACAAGUUUGACAGAAUUAGAUUUGAGCUCCAACAGGCUGACUGGUCCGAUCCCAAAUUCAUUUCAAGACUUGGAAAAAUUGAAUUACUUGUAAGUGAACAUUUUUAUUCUACUUCCUACUAAUAAUUUGAUCUCAAGAAUGCUGGUUACUUUUUCUUAAUUAAUUUUCCUCAGUGAUAUAAUGAGACAUAUGUCCAUGAUGGAUGCAACUUUCUGACUAACAAUUCUCUAAGCGGACG